rnacentral:rRNA from 1 species
UACGUAGGGUGCGAGCGUUAAUCGGAAUUACUGGGCGUAAAGCGUGCGCAGGCGGUCUGUUAAGGCCGAUGUGAAAUCCCCGGGCUUAACCUGGGAACUGCAUUGGUGACUGGCAGGCUUUGAGUGUGGCAGAGGGAGGUAGAAUUCCACGUGUAGCAGUGAAAUGCGUAGAGAUGUGGAGGAAUACCGAUGGCGAAGGCAGCCUCCUGGGCCGACACUGACGCUCAUGCACGAAAGCGUGGGGAGCAAACAGG